rnacentral:rRNA from 1 species
UACGUAGGGUGCAAGCGUUGUCCGGAAUUAUUGGGCGUAAAGAGCUCGUAGGCGGUCUGUCGCGUCUGCUGUGAAAACUCAGGGCUUAACCCUGAGCUUGCAGUGGGUACGGGCAGACUAGAGUGAUGUAGGGGAGACUGGAAUUCCUGGUGUAGCGGUGAAAUGCGCAGAUAUCAGGAGGAACACCGAUGGCGAAGGCGGGUCUCUGGGCCGAUACUGACGCUGAGGAGCGAAAGCGUGGGGAGCGAACAGG